rnacentral:rRNA from 1 species
AGCUAAGGGAAUGUUACUUAAAUAAAGCCUCAUCAAUGGAACAAAAUAUCAUAUAAAAAAAUUUUAAGCCUGGUUAGUACUUGGAUGGGAGACCACCUAGGAAGACCAGGUGCUGUAGGCA